GGUUCAGUGGCCUAGUUGCGUUAAGGCAUCUGUCCGGUAACCAGCGGAGACCCGGGUUCGAUUCCCGGCUGAGCCA